UACGAAGGGUGCAAACGUUACUCGGAAUUACUGGGCGUAAAGGGUGCGUAGGUGGUUGUUUAAGUCUGCUGUGAAAGCCCCGGGCUCAACCUGGGAAUGGCAGUGGAUACUGGACAGCUAGAGUGCGGUAGAGGGUAGUGGAAUUCCCGGUGUAGCAGUGAAAUGCGUAGAGAUCGGGAGGAACACCAGUGGCGAAGGCGGCUACCUGGACCAGCACUGACACUGAAGCACGAAAGCGUGGGGAGCAAACAGG
rnacentral:rRNA from 1 species